rnacentral:rRNA from 1 species
CAAAGGAAUUGACGGGGCCCGCACAAGCGGUGAGCAUGUGGUUAAUUCGAAGCAACGCGAAGAACCUUACCAGGUCUUGACAUCCCGAUGCUAUUUCUAGAGAUAGAAAGUUACUUCGGUACAUCGGUGACAGGUGGUGCAUGGUUGUCGUCAGCUCGUGUCGUGAGAUGUUGGGUUAAGUCCCGCAACGAGCGCAACCCCUAUUGUUAGUUGCCAUCAUUCAGUUGGGCACUCUAGCGAGACUGCCGGUAAUAAACCGGAGGAAGGUGGGGAUGACGUCAAAUCAUCAUGCCCCUUAUGACCUGGGCUACACACGUGCUACAAUGGGCGGUACAAAGGGCAGCCACUUAGCGAUAAGGAGCCAAUCCCGUAAAGCCGGUCUCAGUCCGGAUUGGAGUCUGCAACUCGACUCCAUGAAGUUGGAAUCGCUAGUAAUCGCAGAUCAGCACGCUGCGGUGAAUACGUUCCCGGGCCUU